rnacentral:rRNA from 1 species
UGGGGAAUAUUGGACAAUGGGCGAAAGCCUGAUCCAGCAAUGCCGCGUGAGUGAUGAAGGCCCUAGGGUUGUAAAGCUCUUUUACCCGGGAUGAUAAUGACAGUACCGGGAGAAUAAGCUCCGGCUAACUUCGUGCCAGCAGCCGCGGUAAUACGAGGGGAGCUAGCGUUGUUCGGAAUUACUGGGCGUAAAGCGCGCGUAGGCGGUUUUUUAAGUCAGAGGUGAAAGCCCGGGGCUCAACCCCGGAAUUGCCUUUGAAACUGGAGAACUAGAAUCUUGGAGAGGUCAGUGGAAUUCCGAGUGUAGAGGUGAAAUUCGUAGAUAUUCGGAAGAACACCGGUGGCGAAGGCGACUGACUGGACAAGUAUUGACGCUGAGGUGCGAAAGCGUGG